rnacentral:misc_RNA from 1 species
GAUGAAGAACGUAGCGAAAUGCGAUACUUGGUGUGAAUUGCAGAAUCCAGUGAACCAUCGAGUCUUUGAACGCAAGUUGCGCCCGAAGCCAUUAGGCCGAGGGCACGCCUGCCUGGGCGUCACACGUCGUUGCCCCCCCAUCUACUCCUUCGGGAUUGCGGGGGGCGGAUGAUGGCCUCUCGUGCGCCUCGUCGCGCGGUUGGCCUAAAUGCCAAGUCCUCGGCGACGCACGCCACGACAAUCGGUGGUUGCGAAACCUCGGUUGCCUGUCGUGUGCGGUCGUCGCGCAUCGAGGGCUAGAAAAAAUUGCCGGGCUUCGGCUCGACUUUCAACGCGACCCCAGGUCAGGCGGGGUUACCCGCUGAAUUUAAGCAUAUCAAUAAGCGGAGGA